rnacentral:rRNA from 1 species
UGGUUGGACAAGAAAUAAGCUGUCUUAAAUAAAAAUAUUGAACUUAACUUUUAAGUGAAAAGGCUUAAAUUUUCUAAAGGGACGAUAAGACCCUAUAAAACUUUAUAUUUAAAAGUAAUUGCAAUUAUUAUUUAAAGAUUUUAUUUUUAAAUAUUUUAUUGGGGUGAUAAGGAUAAAAUAUAAGACAACUGUCUUUUAUUUUAACAAUAAUUUUUGAGUAAAUGAUCUUAGUAAAGGAAUAAAAGAUUAAGUUACUUUAGGGAUAACAGCGUAAUUUUCUUUGAGAGUUCUUAUCGACAAGAAAGUUUGCGACCUCGAUGUUGAAUUAAAAGUUCUUUAUAGAGUAGAGACUA